rnacentral:sRNA from 1 species
UAACUCUGUGUAAUUCUCAAUGUUCUUUCACUCUAUACUUCACACUCAUAUAGUCUCUAAUAAUUCUUUUGUGUAAUUCUUGAUACUCUUUCAUUUCAUAUUUCAUACUUGUGUAGUUUCUAACAAUUCUUCUGUGUAGCUCUUAAUGUUUUUCUACUUCAUACUUCACUGUGAAGCAGCUUCUGAUAUUCUUUCUGUAAUGGGCGUACUUCGAUUAACGAUCUAGCACUAUCCUAAAUACAGAUUACAAAUUGAUUAAGGAAAGAAAGAGAAAAGAGAUCAGAAGGAAAGGUCGUACGAAGGGGGUUCUUAUAGAAGGGAGAUCAGAGUGGAAGAAUAUCAGAAGCUGCCCCACAGUGGAGCGCGGAGUGGAAGAAUGUUAAGAGCUACGCAGAAGAAUCAUUAGAAACUACACAAGCACAGAGCAUGAGGCGGAAGAAUGUUAAGGACUAUGCAGAAGAAUCAUUAGAGACUACACAAGUGCAGAGCACAGAGUGGAAGAACAUCGAGGGUUACACAGAGUCACAAUGACAGGAACAAGUGGG